rnacentral:rRNA from 1 species
AUACGACGACGGAACCGUUAACCUCGGGCGUCAAAAUGUAUGUUGACGUAUUCUGAAAGGGAUACUUCUUCGGACAAUAUACAAGGUGCUGCAUGGUGUCGUCAGCUCGUGCCGUGAGGUGUCGGGUUAAGUCCCAUAACGAGCGCAACCCCUAUCAUUAGUUGCCAUCAGGUCAAGCUGGGGACUCUAAUGAAACUGCCUACGCAAGUAGUGAGGAAGGUGGGGAUGACGUCAAAUCAGCACGGCCCUUACGUCCAGGGCUACACACGUGCUACAAUGGCCGGUACAAAGGGCAGCUACCUGGUGACAGGAUGCUAAUCUCAAAAGCCGGUCUCAGUUCGGAUCGGAGUCUGCAACCCGACUUCAUGAAGUCGGAAUCGCUAGUAAUCGCGGAUCAGAACGCCGCGGUGAAUACGUUCUCGGGGUUU